AAGGAUGGUUACGUGUGUCGUUGCACAAAUAAAAGCCUGGACACCUGGCUGUCUUCAGACUUACAGAUAGACGAGAUCACUGACUUCCAUACAGACAGACAAGACCAUGGCAAGCUGUGUUGGCUCUCCUGCUGUGUCUGGCAGUGACCACUGCCAGUCCGAGACAUCGCCGAGCGUCAGAUCUUUCAUUGUCCACGUCAUCAUUCGGAACCUCGAUGUACAAGCGUCUGGCAGCAGGUAAC